rnacentral:rRNA from 1 species
UACAGAGGGUGCAAGCGUUGUUCGGAAUUACUGGGCGUAAAGCGCGUGUAGGUGGCGAUGUAAGUCGGGUGUGAAAUCCCUCGGCUCAACCGAGGAAGUGCACUCGAUACUGUGUCGCUUGAGUGUUGGAGGGGAUGGCGGAAUUCCCGGUGUAGAGGUGAAAUUCGUAGAUAUCGGGAGGAACACCUGUGGCGAAGGCGGCCAUCUGGACAACUAUUGACACUGAGACGCGAAAGCGUGGGUAGCAAACAGG